rnacentral:rRNA from 1 species
UACGUAGGGACCAAGCGUUGUUCGGAUUCAUUGGGCGUAAAGGGUGCGUAGGUGGGGCCGUAAGUCGGGUGUGAAAUUUCGGAGCUUAACUCCGAAACUGCAUUCGAUACUGCGGUGCUUGAGUACUGGAGAGGAAACUGGAAUUUACGGUGUAGCAGUGAAAUGCGUAGAGAUCGUAAGGAAGACCAGUGGCGAAGGCGAGUUUCUGGACAGUAACUGACGCUGAGGCACGAAGGCCAGGGGAGCAAACGGG